UUAUUUCUAUGUCAGUUAGCCUAUUAAAAACAACCUAUAUACAGGCUCGUGGGGUAGUCUAGCCACCUAGCAUUCCUACAACCUACAAUCCAGGGUUGGUUUUGACCAAGGCGUCAAGCCGCAGCAAUGAAAAUUCCACCUUAUCAGCGUUUGCAACCUCACAUCUGCUGCCGGCAUGGUGCAGGUGCAGCCACCACGCAGCCGGCACAGCGGUGCUGCUCAUCACCCGGCAGUGUAACGAUUGGAAUUGCAUUAUCACAAAGCCUCCCUGAUAUCGGAGAAAUGCCUACUCUCACUGUCUCUUUGUUAGAAACCACACCAACUCAGAUUGAGCCACACGUUCCUGGUGCUUCCCAAACCCACCGUCUCCCCUGCUGCACACACCUUCAUUUAUAUACUCUCACUCAUUUACCAUUCUGCUCACGCAUUUGCAUUGCACAUGGUUCAGAAAGAAAAUAAUUUAUAAAUAAUUUUUAUAUACAUGUUUUUAUCGAUCUAAAAGCCAAGGUUAAAAAAUAAACUAUGAUAAAAAAUCUUAAAAUUUGCUUUAAAUUUAAGAUUA
rnacentral:lncRNA from 1 species